rnacentral:tmRNA from 1 species
AGAUGGGUUAAAAAUAAGUGCCGAUGACUACUACGAAGUCGCUCUAGCCGCAUAAAAAGACGGCUAGCGUCCUUUGGUCAUUGCCUGUGAGGCCAAGGGGCGUAGGAAAGCAGGCUAGUCUUAUCGGUCUUACCUGUGGGCCGGUAAGAUGAAAUGAACACAGGUUAGCUCUCUGCAGACCGUGCCCGGCCGUGUUGCAGAGGGUGAAAAAUAGAGUCGGGCUAUGGAUGUAGAAGCCUGAGUGGAAGGUUUCCGGACGAGGGUUCGAGUCCCUCCGCCUCCAUUU